rnacentral:lncRNA from 1 species
GUGAUGGGCAGAUUAUAAACCCCAAAAGACCUUCAGAUUAGGCAGAAGAAUAGAUGACUACUUCAAACAAUUGGAGCCAUUUAGCCAAGCGGGAUUCUUGUCCAAACAUAUUUUAUCAUAGCUAUUCUGAAAAGAAAAUCACCUGGAAAACACAAGCCCUGAAAAUCAAUUGAUUGAUUUAUCACUUUUAGAAACAUAAGGCAUGUAAAUAAAUCCCCACAGAUGAGCA